GAUGAACGCUGGCGGCGUGCCUAAUACAUGCAAGUCGAGCGAACAGACGAGGAGCUUGCUCCUCUGACGUUAGCGGCGGACGGGUGAGUAACACGUGGAUAACCUACCUAUAAGACUAGGAUAACUUCGGGAAACCGGAGCUAAUACCGGAUAAUAUAUUGAACCGCAUGGUUCAAUAGUGAAAGACGGUUUUGCUGUCACUUAUAGAUGGAUCCGCGCCGCAUUAGCUAGUUGGUAAGGUAACGGCUUACCAAGGCGACGAUGCGUAGCCGACCUGAGAGGGUGAUCGGCCACACUGGAACUGAGACACGGUCCAGACUCCUACGGGAGGCAGCAGUAGGGAAUCUUCCGCAAUGGGCGAAAGCCUGACGGAGCAACGCCGCGUGAGUGAUGAAGGUCUUCGGAUCGUAAAACUCUGUUAUUAGGGAAGAACAAAUGUGUAAGUAACCAUGCACGUCUUGACGGUACCUAAUCAGAAAGCCACGGCUAACUACGUG
rnacentral:rRNA from 1 species